rnacentral:lncRNA from 1 species
CUUUGUCUUUGUAAAAUCAUUGUAUCGAAAAAAAAAAAGUUGUUUUGUUUGUGUCUUUUUCUCAAAUCUCCGUCUCAAAUAUACAAUGGAUCAUACUUGGCAAAAACUCAAACAAAAUAAAUUUUUGCAUAAACUGGAAAUAAAGUAUAUACAAUGUCCAUAUAAAAAUAUUUAGAACAAUAUAUUCAACCAUAGAUGUGCAACAAACAGGCCGAGAAGAAGAUAAUGCAUCACAGAAGAAGAGACUGACAACAAAUAAAAUCCACCGAGAUUAAUUAAUUGAAAAGUAAAAAAAAAUAUAAUUAUUUUAUUAUUCUUAAUAAAUUUGUAUGUACUUUAAUUUACCAUAUUAACCCACUUCUAUUUUUAUAUUAAAUAGGUAUUUCUUAAAUUCAGAUUUUAUAUCACUCCAACUUAUAAAAAAUACUACAUCAGUAGUAUAUAAACAUUUUAACAAAUAUUGUUAUCAUUCAAUAACUAGUACUAGGUAUGAUAUUAUAUCCUAACCUACUACUAUUCUUAUAUACUAUACUCAUUUAAAUAUUAAUUUAAUUUAUAAAAUGGUAUAAUCAACUAAUAUUUUAUAAUACCACUAAGAAAUAUUAUAAUCUACUAACAACUAUUUAUUUAUUUAUUAAAUUUUUACUAAACAAAUAUCAUUGUAUCAACACCGUUUAAAUUAAAACAAUCCCACUCAUACAAACAACACACAAUAAAUAACAAAAUCAUAUAAACUUCUCUUAUUGUAUAAUUUUUUCUUUUGUAAAAAAAAAAAAAAACUCAUGUAAAUAUCAUGGGGACACAAUAUCAAAAACAAGCAUGCAAUUUGUAAUAAAUUCUUGUAAUUUUUUUUAAAAAACUUAUUUGUUGACCACGGGGACGUAAUCGUUCAAAAACCUAGUUGCAAUUUGUAAUACAUAAAAUAUUCAAUAUUUGUAAAAUAAACAAGCAAAGUGAUUUACAAUCACCAGUUCUAUCACUAAAAAUAUCAGUAUCGCCACAUAAAUACGUCAUAAAUUAUUUCACAAUUAAUUACGUGCAUUGUCCACACACUGGCGCCUCACGUAACCACUGCGGCGAUCGUAUGGAGGCCACCCGGGUGGGAUCCGCGUAUUGCAUAAAACGGAAAACGUGUAAAUCUUUUUCAUCGAAUCUUCACUUCUCUGAGUUCUCCCAGCGGAAGCACUAUUUUUUUGCUCAUCUAAAAUCCUUAAUACCUAAAUCUUUCCAAAACUAUACGGCAGUUGCAGAUACCCAAGGCGGGAUGCUGUAUUUGGUUAAUCCACAUCUCCUUAAACCUGGUAGUUGUAAUUAUUGUCACCUUGUUUUCUAUCAUACAUUUAAAUUUAUCUAUUAUUUUUUCUCUUAUAACCCAUUAUAAACACACAUAAAAUAUAUUACACUUGACUGACUUGAGCAUUGACUUAAAGGACACCACAACACUAAAAACAAGUUUGUUUCGAUUUAAAGUAUGUCAUUAUCUAAGAAAUAUGGUGUUGGUCUCACACUUAAAAACUAAUUAUUCAAUGAGAUACAGACAUUUGAUAAUAUGCGUGUGACGUCAUAGAGCCGAAGUCUGAACGACGGCGUAUGUUUUAUAUACCAAAGUAAUUUUAAUUGUUAAAUAUAAUAUUUUUUAAAUUUUUCUUUUGUAACCUCAAGUGUUUUUUUGUGUUUAUGACACUGGGGUGAUUAUAAUUUUAAUAUCCUUUCUAGUGUUUUUAAAGUAGAUAAAACUAUUAUAGUUAAUUUCGUACAAUUUAGUUUGUGCCACUGCGAUGUGCUGCGCGGUGAUAUGACGCGAGUUUCAAACUCAGUAAUUUUACUAAAUUAUAAUUUAUAAUAUGUACCUAUGCAACAAUAAAAUAUAUUAAAUUUAAAAUCACACCAUUGUUCUAAACACAUCAAUAUACUUAGAAUUAUGAAAAAAAAAAAAAUCGGAAAUACUAUUUUAAAUUAUUAAAAUCAUUUUGUAAAUCAAACUACUUUUACACAUUAAACAUAAGCAGCUGCUCAGUCUUCGGUUCUAUGACGUUACGCGAAUAUUCAAAAUCAACUCACAUUAUCUCGUUGAAUAAUUAUUUUUUUAACUUCGGAUUUUUACCAAAACGUUUUUCAUUAUGUUAACUACAAUAAUAAACUUAAAAUUAAAAAAAAAUUUAGUGUUGGAUGUCCUUGAAAAUAUCGCAAUCGUUGGUCGUCACUCAGGAUUAACAAUUAUCUGUAGAUUUCAUAUUGUAGCAAGCACUUUAAAGGACAAUAGCUACACAAUAAUACGUCAGCCAGCGAUUCGUUACACUAAACGGAUGAUUCUCCUGCAAAUCGUCACUUAUUAGCGACCCGACGUCUGAGUAUAACCACAUAAAUAUCUAUUGGUAUAGUAGACUUGCUGACAAAACAACUAGAAAACCUACUUGUGUUUAUUGUAACAAUUCAUCGAAACCUACGCAUCCCUAUUUUGAGCAACGAAUUUCUUCCGAACUUUAAAACAGUAAAAAGAGGUAAGUGAUUAUUUCCAUAUUCUCGUAGAAAAUUAAUUAAAAAAAAGGUAGAGGCAAAUAAAUAAAUAAGUAGUUGCCAGUCAAUGUUAAACAUAAUACGUUUUUAUAUUUGUAUAUAUAUAUAUGUAUAUGUCACGACGAUGACCCUAUAAUAAACACACACAAACAUAGGGCGAUAUAUACACAUAUUAUUAUUGUACGUAUUAUACGCGUAGUACACAGUAACAAUACCAUUUCACACCAUAUAUUAUAAGUAUCUACAAUAUACCUAUAAUGUUAUAUUAUUCUAUUAUAUUUGACUGUUGACUUCGCAUUCCCAUCACCGCAUUACUAUUCCACCGUACCACUACACCUAUACUAUACUAAUACUUUAUUUCUACUUUUGCUUUUUCUUUUACUAUAGAAUAAAGACAGAAAAAGUAAAAAAAUGAAAAUGUAUAUCUUUAAGCAACGAUAAACCAUUGCUAACGAAAAAAUGAUUCUGACCGGAGUUCAGUUGAUAGUGAUGCUUUUUCAACAGUAUAUAUUAUGUUAUAUUUUGUUAAAAUAAUUAAAU